ACGCAGACAUUACCCCUACCCGGGUAGAGAGGCUGUUUCCAAAUAGACCCCCGGCAUCCUUCCCUCCAAGAACUUCCCACCUUGGUCUUGGGGAGACUGGAACUCACAACCUCUCGGUUGGAAAUGGGGGUUGCUUACCAUCAGGUACAAAAUCUUUUGUAUAAUCUAGCUGAUGAACACUCUAAGACAACUAUGCAGAAUUCUUCAAAGUCCAUCCUUCUAUAUGAAGUCCAUAUCAAGCACUUAUUCAAUACGAGAAAUUGCAUUCUGCGUGAAAGAGGUUAGGAAAUAGGAGGAUGAAAAAUGAACUCUAAAGGAUACUAUUCAAGGUUUUCAUACAAUACCAUAAGAUACCUGGGUCAAUUUUCUGUGCCUUUAUUGGCAGUUUCUAUAAGCUCAAGAAUGAAAUGAUAAAAUCAUAGAAUGUAUCUAUGUAUGCAGGUUCUGCACAUUGCCAAUCAGCAGAUUGAUGAAAACUAGAAUCGACUUAAUUCAAAAUCUAACAGUUGAUGCCGCUGAUAACAUAUAUAUUAGAAAGCUUAUAAUGUGGAUAGAAUCUAUAUACAAAAAAUGCAGAAGUUUUGAACGACAUACCUUUUCUACUAUGUAGAAAUGAUAAAACAUAACAUUCAAGGUUGAGACCUAAGGGUCAUUAAAUCAAAUUUAUAUACAUUAGCGAAAGUUUAAAAAUCACAGCAUAAAAAAGACAAUUCCAGCAAUAAGAAGAUAACACUCAAAGUUUUAAACAGAUGACAUAAACAAUUUCAGAUUUUUAUAGAGAAAAUGAAGUUUUAUCUAAUAUGCCACAAGUAAUAUACCAUAUAACCUUCAAUGACACUACCAAUUUAACAAAUAAAUCAUAGAUGACGAGUCUUGUAAUCAUAAUGUGAUGGAAAAAGAUAAAUGCAUAGGUGUAUCAUGUAAGAUAUAUGGAUUUAUAUCUAGAUAUAUGAACUUAUAUCUACAUACAUAUGAACAAUAU
rnacentral:lncRNA from 1 species